UACGUAGGUGGCGAGCGUUGUCCGGAUUUACUGGGCGUAAAGGGAGCGUAGGCGGACUUUUAAGUGAGAUGUGAAAUACCCGGGCUCAACUUGGGUGCUGCAUUUCAAACUGGAAGUCUAGAGUGCAGGAGAGGAGAAUGGAAUUCCUAGUGUAGCGGUGAAAUGCGUAGAGGUUAGGAAGAACACCAGUGGCGAAGGCGAUUCUCUGGACUGUAACUGACGCUGAGGCUCGAAAGCGUGGGGAGCAAACAGGAUUAGAUACCCUGGUA
rnacentral:rRNA from 1 species